rnacentral:rRNA from 1 species
AUUGAACGCUGGCGGCAGGCCUAACACAUGCAAGUCGAACGAGUGGCGGACGGGUGAGUAAUGUCUGGGAAACUGCCUGAUGGAGGGGGAUAACUACUGGAAACGGUAGCUAAUACCGCAUACCAUCGGAUGUGCCCAGAUGGGAUUAGCUAGUAGGUGGGGUAAAGGCUCACCUAGGCGACGAUCCCUAGCUGGUCUGAGAGGAUGACCGGCCACACUGGAACUGAGACACGGCCCAGACUCCUACGGGAGGCAGCAGUGGGGAAUAUUGGACAAUGGGCGCAAGCCUGACGGAGCCACGCCGCGUGAGUGAAGAAGGUCUUCGGGUCGUAAAACUCUGUCAGUGGAGAAGCGGUAUCUAACCAGAAAGCAACGGCUAACUCCGUGCCAGCAGCCGCGGUAAUAC